ACCAUGGAGUGAUCUGGUGUUGGCCAAUUAUAAAAAUCAGAGGUUACCAGUAAGUAUGGCUGUUGAAAACUCCCAUAGAAUGGCAAACAAGCCUGAACCAGGGGCCAAGCUAUCUGUGACAUGAUGACUUCCUUAAAUUACAAGUGCAUCCUAACAAAGUUCUGGAGUUCCAGUUGUUCUAAUUUAUAUUCUAAUGCUGCAAAGUAUCACUGAGAUUGAGCAAAUGUGACCUUCCAAAGUACAGGUUUCCCCUAAGGACUUCCCGGUCUCCCUAGCAGUAGCAGAUGCUGAAUCCUGAGCUUCUGCUGCCUGUUGGAAUGCAACCGAUUUCACUUCCAAGGCCGCAUCAAAAUCCUGCCGAAGUUUGGUGAGCUCUUGCUUUGCAGCAUCAAGUUCAGUGACGGUGGUCAGUCUUGCAGGGUCUUCUUAGCCUUUUCAAGCUCUGAAAGUGCCUGAGCUUUUGCAGUCUCUGAACUCUCUAGCUGUUCCUCUAUCUUGUUCAGUUCUUUCUGGGCCAAUAGCAGUUGUGUCUCCUUGUCCAGAACACUCUGGGAAAUGAGAAAGAAAAAGAUCACAUCUUUACCACCAUUGUCACUCUUGCAUUGCAACUUUAAAAUCAACUUUUUUCUUUACAUAUUCCAAAGAACAAGCUAUGUAUUGCAUACACUAUAUUUGCAUCACAGGUAAAGACAACAAAUAGUCUUGGUCAUGUUCUUUCCCAGUUUAUGUAAUUUGGGCAAUAGAAUUAAGAGAAAUGAUAUUUGCAAUCGUGGAGUGCGCAAACGCCGCAUAAUCCCUUUAGAAAAAAGUGAGUAAAUACAAAACCACAU